AGCGUACACGGUGGAUGCCCUGGCAGUCAGAGGCGAUGAAGGACGUGCUAAUCUGCGAUAAGCGUCGGUAAGGUGAUAUGAACCGUUAUAACCGGCGAUUUCCGAAUGGGGAAACCCAGUGUGAUUCGUCACACUAUCAUUAACUGAAUCCAUAGGUUAAUGAGGCGAACCGGGGGAACUGAAACAUCUAAGUACCCCGAGGAAAAGAAAUCAACCGAGAUUCCCCCAGUAGCGGCGAGCGAACGGGGAGCAGCCCAGAGCCUGAAUCAGUGUGUGUGUUAGUGGAAGCGUCUGGAAAGGCGUGCGAUACAGGGUGACAGCCCCGUACACAAAAAUGCACAUAUUGUGAGCUCGAUGAGUAGGGCGGGACACGUGGUAUCCUGUCUGAAUAUGGGGGGACCAUCCUCCAAGGCUAAAUACUCCUGACUGACCGAUAGUGAACCAGUACCGUGAGGGAAAGGCGAAAAGAACCCCGGCGAGGGGAGUGAAAAAGAACCUGAAACCGUGUACGUACAAGCAGUGGGAGCACGCUUAGGCGUGUGACUGCGUACCUUUUGUAUAAUGGGUCAGCGACUUAUAUUCUGUAGCAAGGUUAACCGAAUAGGGGAGCCGAAGGGAAACCGAGUCUUAACUGGGCGUUAAGUUGCAGGGUAUAGACCCGAAACCCGGUGAUCUAGCCAUGGGCAGGUUGAAGGUUGGGUAACACUAACUGGAGGACCGAACCGACUAAUGUUGAAAAAUUAGCGGAUGACUUGUGGCUGGGGGUGAAAGGCCAAUCAAACCGGGAGAUAGCUGGUUCUCCCCGAAAGCUAUUUAGGUAGCGCCUCGUGAAUUCAUCUCCGGGGGUAGAGCACUGUUUCGGCAAGGGGGUCAUCCCGACUUACCAACCCGAUGCAAACUGCGAAUACCGGAGAAUGUUAUCACGGGAGACACACGGCGGGUGCUAACGUCCGUCGUGAAGAGGGAAACAACCCAGACCGCCAGCUAAGGUCCCAAAGUCAUGGUUAAGUGGGAAACGAUGUGGGAAGGCCCAGACAGCCAGGAUGUUGGCUUAGAAGCAGCCAUCAUUUAAAGAAAGCGUAAUAGCUCACUGGUCGAGUCGGCCUGCGCGGAAGAUGUAACGGGGCUAAACCAUGCACCGAAGCUGCGGCAGCGACGCUUAUGCGUUGUUGGGUAGGGGAGCGUUCUGUAAGCCUGCGAAGGUGUGCUGUGAGGCAUGCUGGAGGUAUCAGAAGUGCGAAUGCUGACAUAAGUAACGAUAAAGCGGGUGAAAAGCCCGCUCGCCGGAAGACCAAGGGUUCCUGUCCAACGUUAAUCGGGGCAGGGUGAGUCGACCCCUAAGGCGAGGCCGAAAGGCGUAGUCGAUGGGAAACAGGUUAAUAUUCCUGUACUUGGUGUUACUGCGAAGGGGGGACGGAGAAGGCUAUGUUGGCCGGGCGACGGUUGUCCCGGUUUAAGCGUGUAGGCUGGUUUUCCAGGCAAAUCCGGAAAAUCAAGGCUGAGGCGUGAUGACGAGGCACUACGGUGCUGAAGCAACAAAUGCCCUGCUUCCAGGAAAAGCCUCUAAGCAUCAGGUAACAUCAAAUCGUACCCCAAACCGACACAGGUGGUCAGGUAGAGAAUACCAAGGCGCUUGAGAGAACUCGGGUGAAGGAACUAGGCAAAAUGGUGCCGUAACUUCGGGAGAAGGCACGCUGAUAUGUAGGUGAAGUCCCUCGCGGAUGGAGCUGAAAUCAGUCGAAGAUACCAGCUGGCUGCAACUGUUUAUUAAAAACACAGCACUGUGCAAACACGAAAGUGGACGUAUACGGUGUGACGCCUGCCCGGUGCCGGAAGGUUAAUUGAUGGGGUUAGCGCAAGCGAAGCUCUUGAUCGAAGCCCCGGUAAACGGCGGCCGUAACUAUAACGGUCCUAAGGUAGCGAAAUUCCUUGUCGGGUAAGUUCCGACCUGCACGAAUGGCGUAAUGAUGGCCAGGCUGUCUCCACCCGAGACUCAGUGAAAUUGAACUCGCUGUGAAGAUGCAGUGUACCCGCGGCAAGACGGAAAGACCCCGUGAACCUUUACUAUAGCUUGACACUGAACAUUGAGCCUUGAUGUGUAGGAUAGGUGGGAGGCUUUGAAGUGUGGACGCCAGUCUGCAUGGAGCCGACCUUGAAAUACCACCCUUUAAUGUUUGAUGUUCUAACGUUGACCCGUAAUCCGGGUUGCGGACAGUGUCUGGUGGGUAGUUUGACUGGGGCGGUCUCCUCCUAAAGAGUAACGGAGGAGCACGAAGGUUGGCUAAUCCUGGUCGGACAUCAGGAGGUUAGUGCAAUGGCAUAAGCCAGCUUGACUGCGAGCGUGACGGCGCGAGCAGGUGCGAAAGCAGGUCAUAGUGAUCCGGUGGUUCUGAAUGGAAGGGCCAUCGCUCAACGGAUAAAAGGUACUCCGGGGAUAACAGGCUGAUACCGCCCAAGAGUUCAUAUCGACGGCGGUGUUUGGCACCUCGAUGUCGGCUCAUCACAUCCUGGGGCUGAAGUAGGUCCCAAGGGUAUGGCUGUUCGCCAUUUAAAGUGGUACGCGAGCUGGGUUUAGAACGUCGUGAGACAGUUCGGUCCCUAUCUGCCGUGGGCGCUGGAGAACUGAGGGGGGCUGCUCCUAGUACGAGAGGACCGGAGUGGACGCAUCACUGGUGUUCGGGUUGUCAUGCCAAUGGCACUGCCCGGUAGCUAAAUGCGGAAGAGAUAAGUGCUGAAAGCAUCUAAGCACGAAACUUGCCCCGAGAUGAGUUCUCCCUGACUCCUUGA
rnacentral:rRNA from 1 species